CGUAAAGGGAGCGUAGGUGGAUUUUUAAGUGAGAUGUGAAAUACUCGGGCUUAACCUGAGUGCUGCAUUUCAAACUGGAAGUCUAGAGUGCAGGAGAGGAGAAGGGAAUUCCUAGUGUAGCGGUGAAAUGCGUAGAGAUUAGGAAGAACACCAGUGGCGAAGGCGCUUCUCUGGACUGUAACUGACGCUGAGGCUCGAAAGCGUGGGGAGCAAACAGGAUUAGAUACCCUGGUAGUCCACGCCGUAAACGAUGAGUGCUAAGUGUUGGGAGGUUUCCGCCUCUCAGUGCUGCAGCUAACGCAUUAAGCACUCCGCCUGGGGAGUACGACCGCAAGGUUGAAACUCAAAGGAAUUGACGGGGGCCCGCACAAGCGGUGGAGCAUGUGGUUUAAUUCGAUGCAACGCGAAGAACCUUACCAGGUCUUGACAUCUAGUGCAAUCUGUAGAGAUACGGAGUUCCCUUCGGGGACGCUAAGACAGGCGGUGCAUGGCUGUCGUCAGCUCGUGUCGUGAGAUGUUGGGUUAAGUCCCGCAACGAGCGCAACCCUUGUUAUUAGUUGCCAGCAUUAAGUUGGGCACUCUAAUGAGACUGCCGGUGACAAACCGGAGGAAGGUGGGGAUGACGUCAAGUCAUCAUGCCCCUUAUGACCUGGGCUACACACGUGCUACAAUGGGCAGUACAACGAGAAGCGAGCCUGCGAAGGCAAGCGAAUCUCUGAAAGCUGUUCUCAGUUCGGACUGCAGUCUGCAACUCGACUGCACGAAGCUGGAAUCGCUAGUAAUC
rnacentral:rRNA from 1 species